rnacentral:lncRNA from 1 species
CUGGAGCCAAGCUACAACCCAGGCAGGCUGCUCAGAGCCUGCACGAAUGACUGGGCCACCUGUGCCUCUCCAGUGCAAACCCCCCGUUUGUCAUCAACAACAGGAGGGACUGACUGGAGGUCCGCUGCAGCUCAGAGAGUUUGUCCAUUUCUGGGCUAUUAUUGAUUAACCUGUUUAUAUUCCACCGUAUCAGAGCCUGGAUCACCUGGAAGGCAUUCCUUUCUAGACGCAGCAAUGCAGGAGAGUCGGCGACUUCAGGGACUGAGGCUGGAGGUCUGCAAAAGCAGAUCAGGAGGUACAAUCCCAAGAAGAACCUUGAGAAGGCUCAACAGGACUUUAAGAAGUCUUGGAAUCGCGCCACUGCACUCCAGCCUGGUGGCAGAACAAGACUCCAUCUCAAAAAAAAAAAAAAAAAAAAAAAAGAAGUCUUGGGCCAGGCUCCGUGGCUCAUGCGUGUAAUCCCAGCACUUUGGAAGGCUGAGGCAGGCGGAUCACCUGAGGUCAGGAGUUUGAGACCAGCCUGGCCAACAUAGUGAAACCCUGUCUCUACUAAAAAUACAGAAAUUAGUCGUGCGUGGUGGAACGCUCCUGUAGUCCCAGCUACUUGGGAGGCUGAGGCAGGAGAAUCACUUGAACCUGGGAGGCGGAGGUUGCAGUGAGCCGAGAUUGCGCCACUGCACUCCAGCCUGGGGGACAGAGCGAGACUCUGUCUCAACAACAACAACAACAACAACAAAAGUCUUGAAUCCACGCUAUGCGAGGAAGGAACGAGGGAAGGACCACAGCUCUGUCCUUAGUUCUUGGCCCCCCUCCCUUCCCAUGUCCUCCCUGGGGAGCCUCCCGAAGGGCUUGCUACACCCUGCUGGCUCCCGCACCACGUCCACUGGGACCUCCCUGCUGGUCCUGUGCAUCCGGCUGGUCAUCAGCUCAUCGUGCCUCAGGGUUACAACGUGUAUACCUGCUUGCUUCAACUUUCUCUGAAGAGCCAUAGUCUGGAUUUCAGGCAGUGAGGUCAUCCCUCGCCCAGUCACGCGAGUGUGGGAUAUGAUGAGGUUUCUCUUCAAAUAGCCCUAUCAAUCCUUUAUUCUUUAAUUCAUAUACCCUUAAACCCCUUUUUCCUUUCUCUCUUUUUUUCCUUUCUGCCUUUGUUACAUGCCCAGACACGCCACAGUACCAGGCUUAUCAGUACCAGCUCACAUUCUUUCCUUAUUUAAAAAAAAAGAUGACCGGGCGCGGUGGCUCACGACUGUAAUCCCAGCACUUUGGGAGGCCGAGGCGGGCGGAUCACGAGGUCAGGAGAUCGAGACUAUCCUGGCUAAAACGGUGAAACCCCGUCUAUACUAAAAAUACAAAAAAAUUAGCCGGGCGUGGUGGCGGGCGCCUGUAGUCCCGGCUACUCGGGAGGCUGAGGCAGGAGAAUGGCGUGAACCCGGGAGGCGGAGCUUGCAGUGAGCCGAGAUCGCGCCGCUGCUCUCCAGCCUGGGCGACAGAGCGAGACUCCGUCUCAAAAAAUAAAAAAAUAAAAAAAUAAAAAAGACUAGCUCGCUAACUCAUUACAGAUACCCUUUCCCCUUUUCCCCUCUCUCCCUUACGUGUCCACCUUAUCUAAAAAGAGUUCAAAUGUCUAGCCAACCGGGAUUAGUUCAGUUUGUGCGACCCGACCCUGGCCAAUGGGGAAAGGGUACAGGGGCAGGACUUGGCAUCAGGAAUAAAGGCUCUCGUGCGCCUUUGUUCAGGUGUGCUCUCAUGGUGACCGGCCAAGGAAAAGCACCCCUCUGCGCAAAAGUAAAAUUGCUUUGCUAAGAAUCCUUUGUUUGAGUGUUCAAUCUCCUUAAGAUUUUAAGUGUUAUUCCCAACACAAGUAAUCUAGGACACGUAUUUCUCAAGCAGAACACACAUCAGUCACCAAAGCCUGUAGGUUCUAGCUGCACAAUAUUGUCCUGACUCCUCCUUUUCUUCAUGCCCUCUGCUGUUGCCUUCGGUUAGGACCUCACUGCUUCCUGCCUGAAUUACUGACUUCAGCCUUUGUGACUUCAGUCUAUUUUCUAACUCGUCUUUCUGACUACAACCUAUUUGUUCCCUUUGCUUCUUCAAGCCAUUCUCCAUCAUUGUGCCAAUGUUCUAAACGUAAACAGUUUCUAUCAUUUUCUUGCUUAAACUCUUUCAGUGGCUUCUCCAAAUGUGUCAGCAUGAAGCUUUAACUGUGAGCUGAGCACAAAAGGACUUUCCUCACCUGAAUCCUGUUUACAUCUGUAGCCUCAUUCUUCUUCCACAACCAACAAACAUGCUUUGCCCCAGACACUCCGAGUGACGCGACUAUUUUAUGCCACUGCGCCUCUUAGCUUCCCCCUUGUCCACCCAAAGGACACAUGUCCUUCAAGCUGCACUGAAGCAUCUCCGUGUCCAGGAAGCGUCCUCUGGUGUCCUAGCUUAGUGUGGAUGUUCUUUGUCCGUGCUCCCCAUAACAUAUUGUGCCUACAUGCAGAUCUCUAAUCUCUGAUUUAUUUGUUUGCCUUCCUCUCUAGACUUUAAUUGCUGAACUGCAUGGACCCUGGUUUACUGAACUUCGUAAAUCUAAAUCUACAGUUGGAUACCGUGCGUGGCACAGAAAAGACCUUCAAUAAAUGAUUUCUGGUUUCGUUUUGGUUUUGUUUUAUUUACUGCUUACUACAACCAAGUACUGC